rnacentral:rRNA from 1 species
AUGAAGUUUGUGAUAAGAUCGGAUUUGAGGUGUAUUUAUAACGAUCACAUAAAUGAAAGGCUACAGGAAGAUUUUGGAAAUGGCAAUGGUGUCAACAAAGACAUGAGACAAGAGCUUGGACUGGCGGCAUGGACUGAAAAAUCGUCCCAACCAUCUUGGACACCCAGGCAGGUGUUGCGAGCUAUGAUGCCCGAGGGACCCGCCGAGAAAAUGGGGUUCGACAUGAUGAUCAAGGAUGCGCAGGAAACAGAGAAACCGAAUAUUAUGUUUGCAAGACGGUUAUCAUAUAUUCUAAUUCAGACACAAGUGAUGAUACAACAAUGCUCUUCGCCAAAUUCCAAUUCAGUCGAGCGUAUCUUAGCUUGGGAGCAUGCCCGUGCAACAGUUAUUGUCAUCUUCAUGCCCCAUAUAAGUUGCUUCUGUCAUGCAUAG